AUGAUCCGAUUUUGUUCUGUUCCACUAUCCCUAUCUCUCACCUCAAGAUUUUCCACUGUGGUGUUGGCUGUCAGUGGGGAAGCCGCUGGUGCUGCGGUCAUGUUUACUUGUGCUGUGGUCAUGUUUACUGGUGCUGCGGUCAUGUUUACUUGUGCUGUGGUCAUGUUUACUGGUGCUGUGGUCAUGUUGUUUCCUGGUGCCGUGGUCAUGUUUCCUGAUGCCGUGGUCAUGUUGUUUCCUGGUGCUGCGCUCGUGGCCGUGCUUUGCGCGUAGGUGCCCACGGAUAGCCACGACAGUGUCACGAGCAGGACUGUGAGGACUAGUCUGUUGUCCAUAGCUAGAGUAGUCAGGUAAAAAGAUUGUAUCAGAUGACCAGAUUUAAAGGUGAAUUAUUUUAGUCAACAUUAUACCCAAUAAACCUAAUAUUUAGGUAACAGUCACAGCACUGUUUUCGUGAACAUGUCACAAAAUCAUCUAGUGGGAAGUUACUUUCUUUGGUAAGGCUGCUCGAUUAUGGAAAAAAUCAUAAUAACAAUUAUUUUGGUCAAUAUUUAAAUCAUGAUUAGUUAAACAAGUGUUUUUGAGUUUGGAAACAUGAUGCAUUUAUUUAGCAUUGCUUUCCAAAAAAAAAAAAACAAUAACACUUGUAACUGAGGACUUUGAAAUUUCCCCUUAAAAAAUACACAAAAUGUUCAAAUCGAAAGAUUCAAAAUGUUCAAAUCGAAAAUAAUUUACAAAUAUGUAUCCAAAUGUUCUGCAAUUUCUAUAAAACAUUAGAUGAAUAAGAUAAAUAAACUUAGAAUAUCAAAUAAAAUCUAUUGCAAUAAGUAUCCAAUGGCAGCUGUUAUUUUCUUAUGCUGCGGCGUUAAAGCUGCUCCGCCCUCAGCCAUCCGGCCACCCCCACCUGCUGCGUUUUGAGUCUGCCACAGCGCAGUACUGACAUCUGCCGUCGCGAGACAGAGGAGUGCCCACGAUAAUCACUCGCAACCACAGUUAUUGGUAUGUGUUAUAAAAACAACAACACAAACUGUUCCCGACCCGAGGAUGAGCUGAAGAGCUUGUAUUUGUCCCUUUUUAUAGAUUUUUGUGCUGGUGCUGGAGUGUUUUAUUUUGAAAAGUGACCGGAUGUUAUCUUGUUGUUUCGGUGCAUGACUUCCUGUCUGCUCUGUGCUAAAUUCUGCUGAACUGCUGCGUCGUGGCUCCGGUCCGCCAGAAAUAGAAGUCCUGCGAAACUGUCCAGAGGGAUCUGGACUGUCGGAGCUGGGACGGAGCAGAUACGCAGCGCAGCGACCUGGUGGAAGUUAACACAUAGACUAAAGUGAAACCCAUCAGUGGACACAUAUCUGGUGGAUGAGUGCCAGUCAGCAGGGCUGCGUUGAAUGCUUUGGGGGGGGGGGGGGGACUGAAUUGUGCAUGCGUGUCUCUAGGCCUACUGUACAACGAAAAAUGCCAAAUAAAUCGUUUCAUCUCGAUUAUAUUAGUUUGAAGAUUGUUUCACCCAAAAAUCGGAAUCACGAUCAAAAUUCGAUUAAUUGCACAGCCCUACUCUUUGGGUGGUUGCUGAGCACAACAUAUAGUGGAUGUUACAUGAAGCAUAUUAAAUGAUAGCGAUGGUGACAGGCUAAGGAAUGACUGGAAAAAUGCCAGCUCCCCCUUGUGGCUAUUCAAAAUAAAUCAGGAAAUCAUUAUGGGACUGUAUGUUAUUGGGCCCCAGGCUUCUUGUGUAAUCAAUUGCUGCUUUUCCUUGUAAUUUAUCCUAGUAAAUGAAGUUUUUACAUGUUUCACUGGUGUGGCUGCCUCUUUUAUUUAGGUGCACCAGUAUAUAAAUUUGUUGCAUUUCUUAGCACAUUAUGUCAAUAAUUUAAAACAGGAAAAAAUGUGCAGGUACAUGUUUUCAUCCUUUAAAGCAUCAAUAUAUAGAAGUUGGCAUUUUGUAGGAUUUGGCGCCCUCCCACAGUUUUUGAGUUCAACACCACUGUGGUAAGUACAAAUCCCAGGUUUGUAACGCUUGUAGAUGCUUACGACACUUCUCAAAAUUAGUUGGGGAUAUUGGGAUAUGGGUGCAUAUAUGCAUGUGCAUGGAUAUGCAAUAUUUGUCAAAUUAAAUGUGUAGCAUUAUUUUUGGGGACCAAAAAUAUAAAUAUUUACACACAAAAUUCAAUUGUUUAAAAAAGUCACAAAAAUAAAUGAAGUGAGGUUGCUAUAGAAAUUUACCAAAUAUGAUUAUAGACUAGUAUUUGUUCAAAAGUUCCUGUCUGCACUCCCAGUUGGGUGUGUCACACUUCGGGCAGACUUGCUUUUUGAGUCUCAUGCGUGAACAAAACUGUUGCACAAGGGAUUCCUGAGGAUCAAAAGAAGCAAUUUGAAGAUGUUGCUUUGGGAAAUUGUGAUGAGCUUUUUUUAACAUGUGUAAACAUUUUACAGUCUAAUCAUAAAAAUGAUCAAUUAUCAUUUUGUAGUACAAACAAAAGUUAUCAUGAACAUAACAUAUAAUAUAGCUCACUGUACGAAAAAUCAAAUUAUAAUUUGGGAUAUACAUUUUACACACAAGAUUAAAUUUAUCCUAUCCUAUCAAUAAUCAUUAAUUGUCGUUGUCAUUAAUAAUGCAUCAGUUCUUUUAUUUUAAGUUUUUAGUAUAGUUGGCAUUUGGGAAUUAAAAAAACCUUUAAGAAGGGUUAAGUACUUUAAUAUGAUUGGAAGAGAAACCCAUAUUCCAUUGAUUACAUGCACACCAUAUGGUAUCCCACCAUGUGUAGAUAAUAAAUAGACAUUAAUGUCUAACGUAAAGAUCGUUUUAGCCUACCUGUAGAUCCUAUCUUCAGUUCCAGUGAUGGGAGAAAUAGGGAUAAGAAGUGAAAAGCAGUGCAGUUCCUUGAAAUGAGGAUCCUGUCAGGCGUGGCGUACAGGUGGACUGCUUGCGAGGGAGAUGUUCUGAGCAGGAUCCCAGGUAAAGAUGUGACACCUGUGUGCACUGUGUCACUAUUUAAACUAAUGGGUUGAGUCAAGACAUCACAGCCCAAAAGAAACAAAAAAAAAAACCUCCUGACAUCAUGGAUGAGGGUGGAGAAUAGGGGCUCAAGGGCGUGUGUGGAAAGCCCAGGAGAGAUUUUGCCAUGUCACUGCACAUUUAACGCCCCCCCCCCCCCUUUCUUUGCAAUUGCAGUUGCUAAGUGCAUUCUUCUCCUGCAUGUCUCAUAGUGCUCGUAAGGC
ensembl:lncRNA